rfam:Nomascus leucogenys chromosome 4, whole genome shotgun sequence.
GCUGUCAUGUGGUGUGCCUAUAGCUCCACCUAUUUGGGAGGCUGAGGUAGGAGGAUCACUUGAGUCUAGAAGUUAUGGCUAUAGUGUGCUCUGCCAACUAAGGGUCCACACUAAGUUCAGCAUCAAUAUGGUGACCUCCUGGGGGUGGAGGACCACCAGGUUGUCUAAAGAAGAGUGAAUCAGCAGGGGCAGAAACAGAGCAGGUCAAAACUCCCAUUCUGAUCAGUAGUGGGAUCACACCUGUGAAUAGCCAUUGCAUUUCAGCCUGGGCAACAUAGUGAGGCCCUGUCUCUU